rnacentral:lncRNA from 1 species
GCUAUCACUGCGCUAAACAAAUACCUGAAGGCUGAAAACCUCGACAGCUCAAGAACGAACACAGCCUAUUGGAAGGGAAAAGCAAAAAUUUUAAGCUUCCAAAUGCUACGUUCAAAUGGAUUCUUUGUAAAUUAUCAAACCCUACUUUCUAGAAUGAUCAUUUCACGCCACUCUUGCAGCAAAUUAUUCAUUGGAGGUCUCUCUUACUUCCAUUUUUACUACUACUGUGUUUAGAAUCCAUUAAUGAAUUGUUUUUCCGACUUUCUAUGAUUCUGUUUUUUUUUUAUUAUACCAUGAUUAACAUUGAUUUUUCCUUAGGAGUGUUAUAGUGUUAAGGGAAAAGGUUCAAAUUUGUUACUGUUAGAAAUCAGAGGCGGAACCCGGAUUCGAAGGGGUACCCAUUUGAAGGUUAUGAGUUUGGAGUUCUAAUCCUUUUAAGUUACUGACAUCUAAUUAGGAGUAAUAAUUAGUACAUUUCCAAUGAAUUUCAUUAGACAAAUACAAGGUUUGACCCAAAGCUACUGGGUUCGGCCAAACCUAUAGUUGAUAGGCUAGCAUUGCCCCUGGUAGAAAUUGCUCAAUUUUGCCUUAUGUUAUAUUUUUGGGCCAUUCACACUCGUGCUAUUAUCGAAUACUCUCAUAUUUGCCCUUGACAGAGCUCCAACAUGAAAUGUGUGAACUCAAAUUUGUCCAAAUUGUGCGAGAGAAAAGGUCCAAAACAAUUUCUGACUAUGGUAUAAAAUUACCCUCAGUUUGGAGCUUCGUUAGGGGUCAAGAGCAAAACCGGGAUUGUUUCCUAGCGGCAGGGUAAUAUUAAUCCAAAAGUUUAAAGAUGACAAAAUUGCUCAAUUUGGUUGACCAUUUUCUCUAGUUAUAAUUUUUAUUUCUCAAAUUUAACUUGAUUGUCAUAUAUUACCUUUUCCUGUAAUACUACUAUUGCCAAUAAAUUCGAAUUUUUGGGUCUUAUUUCCAUAUCAAUCAACUACUCCUCAAUGCUAAACUAGUUGGGGUCGGUAAUAUUAGUCCUCGAUAUCCAUUCAACUUCUAUUUUGGUCUAUUUCUUUCCAAUAGUGUUAAAUAUGUCGUCUUUUGACGCAAAUUAUGGAUUCUGUAAAACUAGAGGUUCUUUAUACAAAGGAAGGCGCGUGAUCUUGACCGAGUUAGGUUCAUCAAGGGCGAGGAUGGUAGAGUUCUGACGGGGGAGUCUCAAAUCAAGCAGAGGUGGCAGGCGUACUUUCGAGACUUACUUAACGAGGAGGGGGAUCGUAACAUAGAGCUAGGGGAGUUG